UACAGAGGGGGCGAGCGUUGUUCGGAAUUACUGGGCGUAAAGGGCGCGUAGGCGGCCCGCUAAGUCGAACGUGAAAUCCCCAGGCUCAACCUGGGAACUGCGUCCGAUACUGGCAGGCUUGAAUCCGGGAGAGGGAUGUGGAAUUCCAGGUGUAGCGGUGAAAUGCGUAGAUAUCUGGAGGAACACCGGUGGCGAAGGCGGCAUCCUGGACCGGUAUUGACGCUGAGGCUCGAAAGCAUGGGGAGCAAACAGG
rnacentral:rRNA from 1 species